rnacentral:rRNA from 1 species
UACGGAGGAUGCGAGCGUUAUCCGGAUUUAUUGGGUUUAAAGGGUGCGCAGGCGGCACGGCAAGCCGGCGGUCAAAUCGCGGGGCUCAACCCCGCCCAGCCGUCGGAACAGCCGGGCUAGAGUGGGCGAGAAGUGCGCGGAAUGCGUGGUGUAGCGGUGAAAUGCAUAGAUAUCACGCAGAACUCCGAUUGCGAAGGCAGCAUGCCGGCUCCACACUGACGCUGAGGCACGAAAGCGUGGGUAUCGAACAGG